AUUGAACGCUGGCGGCAUGCUUUACACAUGCAAGUCGAACGGUAACAGGUCUUUCGGGAUGCUGACGAGUGGCGAACGGGUGAGUAAUGUAUCGGAACGUGCCCAGUAGUGGGGGAUAACUACUCGAAAGAGUGGCUAAUACCGCAUGAGAUCUCUGGAUGAAAGCGGGGGACCGUAAGGCCUCGCGCUACUGGAGCGGCCGAUAUCAGAUUAGGUUGUUGGUGAGGUAAAGGCUCACCAAGCCGGCGAUCUGUAGCUGGUCUGAGAGGACGACCAGCCACACUGGGACUGAGACACGGCCCAGACUCCUACGGGAGGCAGCAGUGGGGAAUUUUGGACAAUGGGCGCAAGCCUGAUCCAGCAAUGCCGCGUGCAGGACGAAGGCC
rnacentral:rRNA from 1 species